GGGUCCCCAGCGGCUGAAGCCCUCCGGUGUGGCUGGAUCCUCUCCUGCUCGUCUACGCUAAGCAGUGCACAGGCUCAGAAGAGAAGAGGAGAAAAGUUUAAGCUAACUGAACAGACAGGAAUCGUGGAUUACUUAGAUG